CGGGAUGUAGUACAGCGGUAGUAUGCGCGCAUGGGGUGCGUGUGACCCGGGUUCAACUCCCGGCAUCCCGACCA
rnacentral:tRNA from 2 species